UAGGGAAUCUUCCGCAAUGGACGCAAGUCUGACGGAGCAACGCCGCGUGAGUGAAGAAGGAUUUCGGUUCGUAAAACUCUGUUGUUAGAGAAGAACAGCGCAUAGAGUAACUGUUAUGCGUGUGACGGUAUCUAACCAGAAAGCCACGGCUAACUACGUGCCAGCAGCCGCGGUAAUACGUAGGUGGCAAGCGUUGUCCGGAUUUAUUGGGCGUAAAGCGAGCGCAGGCGGUCAAUUAAGUCUGAUGUGAAAGCCACCGGCUCAACCGGGGAGGGUCAUUGGAAACUGGUUGACUUGAGUGCAGAAGAGGAGAGUGGAAUUCCAUGUGUAGCGGUGAAAUGCGUAGAUAUAUGGAGGAACACCAGUGGCGAAGGCGACUAUCUGGUCUGUAACUGACGCUGAGGCUCGAAAGCGUGGGUAGCAAACAGG
rnacentral:rRNA from 1 species